UGCUAUUUGAUUUUCAGCCCAUCAGUGUUUUUCUUCUGUCUGCCCCACUGUAAACAGAGAUUUCUCAGAAGAGAGACACUGAAGCUAAACAGUCAUCUCAACUGAACUCUCUACCAAGGACAUAAUGUUGCAGAUGGCCAACGUCGGGUGAGCAAAGUGGCCAGAUGCAAAGGAGGGAGAGGUCUAUGGGACUUCAAUGCAUCAUCAGACUUUUGGCAAAUGUAGUUUGUCAUGUUCAGAUGAUCUAUGACAUAGCACUUCCUGAGCAGAAUAUGAAUGUGGAAGAUUUCCAGAAGUUGAAU
rnacentral:lncRNA from 11 species